UCUUCGGGGAAGGUGAAAUUCCUUACCGGCGGUAUAGUCCGCGACCCGUAUUCUUUAAGAAUAUGGCUGAUUUGGUGAAAUUCCAAAACCGACAGUAAAGUCUGGAUGGGAGAAGAA
rnacentral:ncRNA from 1 species